GUAGACCGAUGGACCAGACUUGCGGUUAUUUAAAGUACUAAUUCCAACCAUAAAUGCGUAAUAUGCAAUGGAACAACGAACGUCUUACGGACGCCAUUCAAUUUGAAUUGUUCAUUCGAAGUGAGUACACGUAUUAGUUAUUAUAACCUUUUCGCGUGUAUUUUUUGUUUGUUUUUAGGUUAACUGUAAUAUGUCAUUUUACUUUUUACUUAAUUAAUAAUUUAAUAUUAAAUGUUAUAGAUUAUGUUCAGUUUCAGAAACUGUACGGUGAUGGUCAACACCGACCAAAAAUGCCAAAAAAGUAUGAAUAUCAAAAAUAAUGAAUAUUUACAAUGUUACCUAUACACUUUUAUUUUUCUGGAUUCUAUAACUGUAGCACAAAGGGCCAUCUGGCCCGUGAUUGCACAAGUAAGAAGAAUCGGCGGCGGCCGAUACCGGGCCGUAGGGCACCACCGCGAUCACGAUCGCCCUAUCGGUGGUCCUGGACGUAAGUAGUAUUUAUUUAUUAUUAUUAAUUUUUUUUUUUUUUUUUUGUAUAGGUUUUUUACUGUGAGGUUGUGGGAAUGGUAGGGGAAAGCACGUGUGUGUAUUGUGGCAGAAUUUCUAGUGGGGCACCCGUAGGUUUCUGCCAUGCCUCGGGGUGGGGAUGGCGGCACUUAUUCUCCGGACACCGUGACUUGCCCGAAGAAAAAUGCCACCCGGUGACCGCGAAUCGAACCAGCAACCCGGCUGCGCCGCAACCGACGCCUUAGACCGCACGGCCACCUCGUCCCCCAACAUUAUUAAUUAAUAUUAAUUGUUAAAAAUAUGAUUUAAAUACAGGACAGAGAAGGAUGACCAAGUGGUAAGCAAUAAGUUUUUUUUUGUUAGCAUUUUUAUUAUUAUUUUUCUAAAUUUUAAAUUUGUUAUGUUUAUUUUUACAGAAUAAAUAAAAUAUAAUCAAUAUA